AUUGAACGCUGGCGGCAUGCCUAAUACAUGCAAGCCGAGCGAACAGAUGAAGUGCUUGCACUUCUGACGUUAGCGGCGAACGGGUGAGUAACACGUAAGGAAUCUACCUAUAAGCGGGGGAUAACAUUCGGAAACGGGUGCUAAUACCGCAUAAUAUCCUCUUCCGCAUGGAAGAAGAUUUAAAGAAGGCCCUGCUGUCACCUAUAGAUGCACUUGCGGUGCAUUAGUUAGUUGGUGGGGUAACGGCCUACCAAGACGAUGAUGCAUAGCCGACCUGAGAGGGUGAUCGGCCGCAGUGGGACUGAGACACGGCCCAAACGGCUACGGGAGGCAGCAGUAGGGAAUCUUCCGCAAUGGGCGAAAGCCUGACGGAGCAAUGCCGCGUGAGUGAAGAAGGCCUUCGGGUCGUAAAACUCUGUUAUAAGAGAAGAACAAAUUGUAGAGUAACUGCUACAGUCUUGACGGUAUCUUAUCAGAAAGCCACGGCUAACUACGUGCCAGCAGCCGCAGUAA
rnacentral:rRNA from 1 species